UAGGUAGGGUGCGAGCGUUAAUCGGAAUUACUGGGCGUAAAGCGUGCGCAGGCGGUUGGUUAAGUCUGAUGUGAAAGCCCCGGGCUCAACUUGGGAAUGGCAUUGGAAACUGGCUGGCUAGAGUGUGGCAGAGGGGGGUGGAAUUCCGCGUGUAGCAGUGAAAUGCGUAGAGAUGCGGAGGAACACCGAUGGCGAAGGCAGCCCCCUGGGCUAGCACUGACGCUCAGGCACGAAAGCGUGGGGAGCAAACAGG
rnacentral:rRNA from 1 species